rnacentral:rRNA from 1 species
AUUGAACGCUGGCGGCAGGCUUAACACAUGCAAGUCGAACGAGUGGCGGACGGGUGAGUAAUGCUUGGGAAUCUAGCUGAUGGAGGGGGAUAACUACGGGAAACUGUAGCUAAUACCGCGUACCAUAGGAUGAGCCCAGGUGGGAUUAGGUAGUUGGUGAGGUAAAGGCUCACCAAGCCGACGAUCGCUAGCUGGUCUGAGAGGAUGACCAGCCACACUGGAACUGAGACACGGUCCAGACUCCUACGGGAGGCAGCAGUGGGGAAUAUUGCGCAAUGGGGGCAACCUGACGCAGCCAUGCCGCGUGAAUGAAGAAGGCCUUCGGGUUGUAAAGUUCUUUCGGUAGCGAGGCGUUAACUACAGAAGAAGCACCGGCUAACUCCGUGCCAGCAGCCGCGGUAAUAC